rnacentral:miRNA from 1 species
CUCUCCCCUACCACCUGCCUCU